UACAGAGGGGGCAAGCGUUUGUUCGGAAUUACUGGGCGUAAAGGGCGCGUAGGCGGCCUGUUAAGUCGAACGUGAAAUCCCCGGGCUCAACCCGGGAACUGCGUCCGAGACUGGCAGGCUCGAAUCCGGGGAGAGGGAUGUGGAAUUCCAGGUGUAGCGGUGAAAUGCGUAGAGAUCCGGAGGAACACCAGAGGCGAAGGCGGCCUACUGGGUCAGUACUGACGCUGAGGCCGCGAAAGCCAGGGGAGCCGAACGGG
rnacentral:rRNA from 1 species